UUGACAUUACAGGAGACUGAAGUCUUCUGUUUAUCCACAAAAUAGAAACAGUAUGUCCACCAGCAAUACAAAGAUGCCCCUCUCCACGCUGUCUUUGCCAGCGUACCUCAGUCAUGUCCUGGCAGGCUCACCUGUAGGCCUAUAUGUACUUUCUGUCCUUUGUCUCUGUGCUGACACUGCC
ensembl:misc_RNA